UACAGAGGUCCCCAAGCGUUGUUCGGAUUCACUGGGCGUAAAGGGUGCGUAGGUGGUUAGGUAAGUCUAAUGUGAAAUCUCCGAGCUUAACUCGGAAACUGCAUCGGAUACUAUCUAGCUUGAGGGUUGGAGGGGGGACUGGAAUACUUGGUGUAGCAGUGAAAUGCGUAGAUAUCAAGUGGAACACCAGUGGCGAAGGCGAGUCCCUGGACAACUCCUGACACUGAGGCACGAAAGCUAGGGGAGCAAACAGGAUUAGAUACCCGAGUAGU
rnacentral:rRNA from 1 species